ensembl:lncRNA
UAUAAACAGGGACAAGCGUGUCAAUGGAGAGCAUUCAUAAGAUAUGAAUAAGAAUUCUUUGAGCCAUGCUCAUUUCUCAUGCUCUCGCAGUCAGCUCCAUCAUCUGAGGAACAAUUCAAUUUUGGAUUUGUAUUCACCGAAUUGCUGGGUAACCCAGCGCGGGCACGGUGCUGAAUGAAGCUAUUGACUCAUAGACACUUGAAUGCCUCGACGCGCUACUGUAUCGAGCUAAUUCCACAGACGAUACUUGUUCAUAAGAUUCUUUAUGUGUGCUAGGAUGACGGUUUCAGGGCCUCCCCGUUCACCGCGAGUGUUUUUUUUCUUUCUGUGCUGCUUGUUCCUUGCGGCUCAUCUCCGAGAGCACAACCUGUGCCGGCUUCAAUAAACAGCCAGCGCACACAUCAACACCUCUAAGUCAGAGCAACAGUUUGAUCUAGAGGCGCUCCUGGGGUGAACCCAGAGGGUGAGCUCACCUGUGCUCUACGUGACGAACGAGUGGAGCACUCACGCUGGGAACCCGGCUGCAGUUAAACACAACGACCCGAUCCUUCCUCCAAACGGCUGAAGAAUCGCCAAUGGAAGAUGGGGAAACAGGCCAAACGCCGAAAGCUGAAUUGCUGUUGUGUUCACCGGAGAGAAUGACGCCAGCUUUCAGAGAAACGGGACGUGCGGCACGCGCUGUGGUGGCGACGUGUCAAAUCGCCCAGGCCGAUGCGGCACAGCUCCAAUCAGCCAGAAUGAACUCAUGAAUUCAUUUAAAACGUGGCAGCACGAGUCUCGCGCGCAAAUACUGGUAUUAAAGUUGCCGCAGCAGCCACCUUCCCACUUGAAGAGGCAGCAGGAGAAAACCAUUUGGAAAACUUGGACUUUGAUACCCAGACACCAUGUUAUAAAAUGUAAACUACACAAGGCACUCUGGCCUCUACCAGCCUUGCUCACCAGUGAUCAAAGGGACAUUGGAUGGGAUGGAUACAACAGCUAAAUCCAGCUUUUCCUGCUCAAAUAUCUUGUAAAGGAACUGCGUUCGGCCCCCAACUUCUUUUUGUUACUUGCUUUGGGUGGGAAAGAAAUCCUGUGAGUAAUCUUAAAAUACAUUACCAGGUCUUUGGCGCAUGUUGAAGAGUUUUCCACACCAUGUUUAUACUGUAUAUGGCAAUUCAUGAACAACACAUUUUUCUUGUGGGAAACUAUACAAGGUUAUUGCUGUCAGUCAUCCUUUUAGUCGCCGCCAGUUUCCUCGCAACACAAAGAGGCAGCAGCCGCCCCCGUGGCUCACGCGCCGCCGUGUUUGAAGCCUAAUGCGUCGGUGUUGACAUUUGCACAAUGACAAUGUAAACAUGUUCACCACCUUAGUUUAGCACACUUACAUUUGCUAAUGAAUUACCAAACACAGAAUACAGCUGAGGGUCAAAUUAAUGGAAUUUGAUUUGUAAACCACAUGUGUUGCCGUAACUAUGACGGCAAAUAAAAAGUCACUUACUAAAAUUCAGCCUGAGAGUAAUCUGAAUAAACAGAUUCUGAAUCCAUAUAUAAUCUGUCGGGACAACAAUCUGGCAUCAAACGUGUCCUGAAUUCUGUUUGUAUUUUGUGCAGUUGUUACUAAUCGAUUCAUGAGGAUUUGGCGUUUAAUUGGUUUGAAACAUUGAGCAAUCCGGUCGUACAUGUUGUCUCUCAUUUCCAACUUCAGCCUUACAUCUCAAGUUGCUAAUUGCACUGUAAACAACGAGCCGUCGGGGGAGAAGGAAGCCCGGGCGUGGAUCCCCGCCGGUUAAAGCGCAACCACAGAAAAGCAGGCUUUUCAUCGUCAGACAAAGAGAGGAUGGGUUCUGAGAUUGUCCUGAAGGGGACACGGAUGUCUCAAUGUGUGUCUAAUUGUCUCGAAAUCACGCCAGACAUUUGAAUCCACAAAUGUCAA